rnacentral:rRNA from 1 species
CACAAGCGGUGGAGCAUGUGGUUAAUUCGACGCAACGCGAAGAACCUUACCAGGGCUUGACAUCCCCUGACCGCGUAUGAAAGUACGUUUUCACCCUCGGGUGACAGGGAGACAGGUGGUGCAUGGUUGUCGUCAGCUCGUGUCGUGAGAUGUUGGGUUAAGUCCCGCAACGAGCGCAACCCCUACGUUUAGUUGCUAACGCGUGAAGGCGAGCACUCUAGACGAACUGCCGUUGACAAAACGGAGGAAGGUGGGAUGACGUCAAAUCAUCAUGCCCCUUAUGUUCUGGGCUACACACGUGCUACAAUGGCCGGUACAGACGGACGCAAAGCCGCGAGGUGGAGCAAAUCUAAAAAGCCGGUCUCAGUUCGGAUUGCAGGCUGCAAUUCGCCUGCAUGAAGUCGGAAUCGCUAGUAAUCGCAGGUCAGCAUACUGCGGUGAAUACGUUCCCGGGCCUU